UAAAGUGGCGAACGGCUGAGUAACACGUGGGCAACCUGCCCUUUGCACUGGGAUAGCCUCGGGAAACCGAGGUUAAUACCGGAUACUCCAUAUUUGUCGCAUGGCGAAUAUGGGAAAGCUCCGGCGGCAAAGGAUGGGCCCGCGGCCUGUUAGCUAGUUGGUGGGGUAGUGGCCUACCAAGGCAAUGAUGGGUAGCCGGGUUGAGAGACCGACAGGCCAGAUUGGGACUGAGACACGGCCCAGACUCCUACGGGAGGCAGCAGGG
rnacentral:rRNA from 1 species